rnacentral:lncRNA from 1 species
CAGGGGCGUAGCUACCUAAGGCUCGACUAGGCACGUGCCUAUACAUAAAUUUGCCGAUUAUACCCCCUUUGGAAAAAAAAAUAAAAAAAAUAAAACAUUUUAAUAUUCUAUGCGUAUUAUUAUUUAUACAUGACCAACCCGUAUUCGAAUCCCGAUACUAGUAUCCUGGUUAAGUACGAUAACUCGUGCAUAGGUAAACAAAAUUUCAACAUGGAUAAAUUUGUUGUUCGUUCGAAACGAAAGAAAGAUGAAGAAGAGAGUCAAAAUGUCAGACUAGGACUGCAAUUGACGAUAGUGGAGAAUCAUCUAAGACUGAAGCUUCUACGACAAGUAAUGCAUCGUUAUGUACACAACACCAUCCCCCUUACCCAGAUAUCGGGUCUUUACAACACCAACAAACAAUACCUGAUAACAAGAAGAUUGCUAUCUUAACACAAACAUGGACGGAGAGUCACAGCUUUAAAUUUCCCGCACGGUAAGUACUGUAUAUUCAUCAAUAUUGUUAGCAGAGUAUGAUGAAUGUCUGAAUAAAGAAAAGAUUUUUUUCGCAGAGUUUUGUAUUUGAUCAGAAAGCUAUGAGCAUUUGAGGUCCGUCCUGCGUCUAUGACAUCGUAAACUUGUUGCGUAACUACUUGAGGAUACCUGUAUUAUAUAGGGAAGCAGUAUAUUGAUUAAGACCUUACUUACAUUCAGCGGAUGCCAUCAAGUAAUCACUAUGUCCGUCUCUCCGACCGGUAGAUAUCUGACUGUCCGUCAGUCCGUCCACACUUAAUAUAAUAAGGUAGUUUGAUUUGACCAAUUAAAUAUUUAUCAAAAUAAAUCUUACA